rnacentral:lncRNA from 1 species
CGUCUGACAUCCAUAACUAAUAACCUCGAUUCAGAGGAAGUGGAAGAGAUUUCUCCCUCCAAAGGGCUAGAAUGUGGUCUAACGACCUAUAGACCUAGAUCUAACAAAUUUUCAAUUUUCGACUAGUGGCCUAUGGGCUCAACCUCCAUAAUAAAGAGGUUUGAAGGGGACCCUCAGGUGAGGAACAAGCAACCACAAAACAAUAGAAGAGGAGGAAGGAGAACUCUGUUCGCUCUCCUUGCUUCUGCUUUCUUUUCUCUCUACUAUUCUCAAAGCUUCGAAUGACUUAAGUAUUAGACGAUCCCCCACUAGAGUAGCCCCAAUGAGUGUGGACUUCUUUUGCAAGUACCCUCUAGCAUCAUGGAACUCAAGCAGCAUCCUAGUCCAGCCACAUCAGCACCCCUCUAGAGCCUUUGUGGCGACACAAUUUUUGGAUCAUGAUGUUCAUCAAUAUAUAGUAUAUGGCCUGUUGAUACGCACCUUGCAAAAUAUUCAUCCGAUGUCCUAAUAUAUACUUCUAGAUAGAUCGAUACAUAGUUUUUAGAAUAUAACACUCACCAGUAUAUAGUACAUGACU